GGAACAUAGAAAACAAGAGUAGGAGACAACAAGAGUCAGGACUCGGGAGGGGAGGUAGAAUAUAGAGUUUGGAAUUGGGCGUUGGGCUUUCUGAUCCUACGAUUAUGAGUUGUGCUCAUCUUCCAUGGUUCGGCAGUUCCUUGUCUUCAAGGUCAUAGCAGCUCUGAAAUCUUCAACCACACGAAUGCACUUGUAAAUUUCAACGACUUCAACACUGGCGACCUCGGCACCUCGUCGGGUACUGACUCCGCCACUGGCUAUAGGUUCCUAUUCAAUUAGAAUUAUAAAUUAUGAAAAACUUGAUAUUAGUUUCUAAACGUUCUGCUAUUUGAAUAAAAAUAAUUCUUAUUUAUAUGAUUAAAUUUGAUCCAUGAUAUGAACAACAACACAUAUAAUCUCUAUGUUUAAGGAACAAAUUGUACUAACAGAAAAAGCCACAAACUCACUGCAACAAACAAAAAAAAGUGAAAUUCUAAAACUCGUAAACAAGCAAAAUUCCGAAAAGAAAUUAACACAUGCAAACUGUCAAAACGAAAAUUGUAAUUUGUAAACACUUAAUAAAAUUGCGAGAAAAAUACUAAAAAAAUUACCUGUCCUCAAAUGCUUCGGCAAAUGGCUGUGCAACUGUGAAGGGAAAGAGCCAAAGAGGUACAGAAAUCAAAGACUGAGAUUGGCUCGCAGUGGCAUAGACGAGCAGAGUCCGUCUUCAAAUUAGGGCUUCGGCUAGAAUUGGGUUUAGUUUGGGGUCUUGGUUGUGUCAACUUUAUUGGGCCAUUGGGCUUAUCAUUUUGUGGAAAUUACGUCUGGCACAUGUUAAGAAAUAAAUAUUCAAAAUUUACAUUUCAAUAUUUUUAUAUUCCAUGAAUAUUGUAAUAAUUCAAACCUAUAAAAUCCCCCAACUCUUUAAAAUUAGAAAAGUAAUUAACAGAUAAAAAGUUGUCAUCAAUUUAAAUCCCAAAUGAAUUAUCUUCUCAAAAUUGGCUACAGGUACAGAAUUUUUAAAUAGAAUUCUGUAAAAAAAAUCUGUAUCUUUAGAAAUAUUCUUGUCUCAAUCUCCCCAAAUUCAUCCACAAAUUACUCUUUAUCAACUCAACAAAUACGAAAUCAAAAUGGAUUUAUCUAAUUUCCGUUCAUCUGCCUUCCAACACAUUCUCAAACGUUCUUACAGAAAUCAUAAUAUAUCUCAUUCUUUAUCUCUUUCCGUACAUUCAAUAAACUCUCAAAUCGUGUAAAUAUAUUAAGCCUAUAUUAGAAACCCUACACAUUAAUCGAUUCCAAAUGGUUUAACAAAAUAUUCAUAAAAAUCUUGGUUUCAAAGAAGGUUUUGACUAAAUCUCCAUAGUAAUUUUUUUACGAGCUUACAUACACAUUUGUAAUUACUCACUCCAGUUACAGUUGUUAAGAGCCUGCC
rnacentral:lncRNA from 1 species